CCUACGGGUGGCUGCAGUGAGGAAUAUUGGUCAAUGGGCUUACGCCUGAACCAGCCAAGUCGCGUGAGGGAAGACUGCCCUAUGGGUUGUAAACCUCUUUUGUCAGGGAGCAACGCCGGCUACGUGUAGCCGGACUGAGAGUACCUGAAGAAAAAGCAUCGGCUAACUCCGUGCCAGCAGCCGCGGUAAUACGGAGGAUGCGAGCGUUAUCCGGAUUUAUUGGGUUUAAAGGGUGCGUAGGCGGAAUGCCAAGUCAGCGGUAAAAUCGCGGGGCUCAACCUCGCUCCGCCGUUGAAACUGGCGUUCUUGAGUGGGCGAGAAGAAGGCGGAAUGCGUGGUGUAGCGGUGAAAUGCAUAGAUAUCACGCAGAACCCCGAUUGCGAAGGCAGCCUUCCGGCGCCCUACUGACGCUGAGGCACGAAAGUGCGGGGAUCGAACAGGAUUAGAUACCCGUGUAGUC
rnacentral:rRNA from 1 species